rnacentral:SRP_RNA from 1 species
GCUGGGCAUAGUGACACGCACCUGUAGUCCCAGCUACUCCAGAGGCUGAAGCAGGUGGAUCACUUGAGCCCAGGAGUUCUGGGCUGUAGUGUACCGUGCAGAUUGGGUGCCAUCACUAAGUUUGCAUCAAUAUGGUGACCUCCAAGGAGCCAGGAACCACCAGGUUGCCUAAGGAGGGGUGAACCAGCCCAGUUUGAAACCAAGCAGGUCAAAAUUUCCGUGCUGAUCAGCAGUGGGAUUGCACCUGUGAAUAGCUGCUGCACUCCAGCCUGGAGUGCAACCACAGUCUCU